rnacentral:misc_RNA from 1 species
AAAGUCGUAACAAGGUUUCCGUAGGUGAACCUGCGGAAGGAUCAUUACAAAUCUUCUUGGAUUCCCGUCUCUAUAUGGGUGCUCUCACAAAGAGUGCACAUAAAAGACUGUGGUUAUCCACAUUUACGCUUGUUGUGUUUGACAGAGUAAUUUUUGGUUGGAAAAAAAAGACAACUUUUAACAAUGGAUCUCUUGGCUCUU